rnacentral:rRNA from 1 species
AAGGAUCAUUAUUGAAAUAAACCUGAUGGGUUGUUGCUGGUUCUCUAGGGAGCAUGUGCACACCUUGUCAUCUUUAUAUCUCCACCUGUGCACUGUUUGUAGACCUUCCAGGUCUAUGUUGCUUUUUCAUUUACCUCCAAUGUAUGUUAAUAGAAUGUUGUGGCUAUAUAAAAUCUAUACAACUUUCAGCAACGGAUCUCUUGGCUCUUGCAUCGAUGAAGAACGCAGCGAAAUGCGAUAAGUAAUGUGAAUUGCAGAAUUCAGUGAAUCAUCGAAUCUUUGAACGCACCUUGCGCUCCUUGGUAUUCCGAGGAGCAUGCCUGUUUGAGUGUCAUUAAUAUAUAUAUCAACCUCUCUUGUUGAGUGGUUUGGAUGUGGGGGGUUUGCUGGCCAUAUUUAAAAGGUUUAGCUCCCCUGAAAUACAUUAGCAGAACAACCUUGUUCAUUGGUGUGAUAACUAUCUACGCUAUUGAAUGUGAGGGUCAGUUCAGCUUUCUAACAGUCCUUGGACAGUUUUAUCAUUUAUGUGACCUCAAAUCAGGUAGGACUACCCGCUGAACUUAAGCAUAUCAAUAAGCGGAGGAAAAGAAACUAACAAGGAUUCCCCUAGUAACUGCGAGUGAAGCGGGAAAAGCUCAAAUUUAAAA